CCCAGGAUGCAGUUGGCCUUCUGGGCCACAAGCGCACACUGCUGGCUCACGUCGAGCUUUUUGUCCACAAGAACCCCCAAGACCUUCUCUGCGAGGGCUGCUCUCAAUGAGUUCUUCUCCCAGCCUGUCCGCAUGUCUGGGAUUGCCCUGACCCAGGUGGCGGCACCUUGCGCUUAGACCUAUAGAUAUUUCAUGUUACUAUUG